AUUGAACGCUGGCGGCAGGCCUAACACAUGCAAGUCGAACGAGUGGCGGACGGGUGAGUAAUGUCUUGGAAACUGCCUGAUGGAGGGGGAUAACUACUGGAAACGUUAGCUAAUACCGCAUACCAUCGGAUGUGCCCAGAUGGGUUUAGCUAGUUGGUGGGGUAAAGGCUCACCUAGGCUACGAUCCCGAGCUGGUCUGAGAGGGUGACAAGGGACAGUGGGACUGAGACACGGUCCAGACUCCUAAGGGAGGCAGCAGGGGGGAAUAUGGCGCAAUGGGCGCAAGUCUGAUGGAGCAAUGACGGGGGUAUGAAGAAGGCCGUCGGAUUGUAAAGUACGUUGAGCAGAGAGGCGUUACACAAAGAGGAAGCAACGGCUAACUCCGUGCCAGCAGCCGCGGUAAUAC
rnacentral:rRNA from 1 species